rnacentral:rRNA from 1 species
AAGAGAGAGACAUGCGCGCAUAUCAAUAAGCGGAGGAAAAGAAACUAACAAGGAUUCCCUUAGUAACGGCGAGUGAAGCGGGAAGAGCUCAAAUUUGAAAUCUUCAAGGUUUUACCUUGACGAAUUGUAGUUUAAAGAAGUGUUUUCUGCUGAAGUUUUGGUAAAAGUUCUUUGGAAUAGGACAUCAUAGAGGGUGAGAAUCCCGUAUUUGACCAUUAUUUUCAGCUUUGUGAUACACUUUCAAAGAGUCAGGAUUGUUUGGGAAUGCAGUCCAAAAUGGGUGGUAAAUUUCAUCUAAAGCUAAAUAUUGGCGAGAGACCGAUAGCGAACAAGUACCGUGAGGGAAAGAUGAAAAGAACUUUGAAAAGAGAGUUAAACAGUACGUGAAAUUGUCAAAAGGGAAGCGUUUGACACCAGUGUUGUUUUCUCGAAAAUCAAUUAAAAAUGGCUCGAUUUUGUAUUGUUGAGACCUUAAAAGCUCACUGUACAUUUUUCGUGUCUUUUUUAAUGCACUUUUCGUUUAACAAGUCAACAUCAGUUUCUUUUGUUGUAAAAGGGUCAUUGGAAGGUGGCUUUCUUUCGGAGAAAGUGUUUAUAGCCUUUGGCCUCUGCAAUCGGAGAGACUGAGGUCUGCAGCGUAGACUCUUCGGGGUUAGAUACAUUUGUGCUAAGUUAUAGCUUUUUAUAGACAACUUGUUGACUAUAAUUAGUCUUGUAGCUUACUCGCUUAUGCUAUUUUACCUACGCUUAGGAUGUUGAGUCGUAGAGCACGCAG